rnacentral:rRNA from 1 species
AUACGUAGGUGGCAAGCGUUGUCCGGAUUUAUUGGGCGUAAAGCGAGCGCAGGCGGUUUCUUAAGUCUGAUGUGAAAGCCCCCGGCUCAACCGGGGAGGGUCAUUGGAAACUGGGAGACUUGAGUGCAGAAGAGGAGAGUGGAAUUCCAUGUGUAGCGGUGAAAUGCGUAGAUAUAUGGAGGAACACCAGUGGCGAAGGCGGCUCUCUGGUCUGUAACUGACGCUGAGGCUCGAAAGCGUGGGGAGCAAACAGGAUUAGAUACCCUGGUAGUCCACGCCGUAAACGAUGAGAGCUAAGUGUUGGAGGGUUUCCGCCCUUCAGUGCUGCAGCAAACGCAUUAAGCACUCCGCCUGGGGAGUACGACCGCAAGGUUGAAACUCAAAGGAAUUGACGGGG